CCACCCCAUCCUGCUUGUUACGAGUCACGGUGUGUUUCCUUGUGUAGGAGACAGAUCAAGCAAACGAUCCAGCCACCGAUCCUCGAAAAGAAGGGACUAGUGAAUUAACCUCCCUUGGUUAUCCACUGUUUCAUCAGUCAUCCUCACCGUCUUCUCAACUCAUCCACAAUUUCUCUUCUAAACUCGGUAUUAUUAUGAUGCCCUAAUUUGUAAUAUGCCGAGUUCAUCAUAUUCUACAGAUACAAAUAGACACAAAGAUGAGCAAUCUUCAAUCGCGACCGAAAGAUCGACCAAAUGAAUUUGGGUAAAUCAGCAACAAGUUUGUCGAGAGGACACAGGUUCUGUUUGAUGGAAAUUCCCAAUAUGAUUCAAACGGGAAGUUCAUCCAUAAGGUGGACACCAGGCUAUCGGCACGGUGGACAUAAUUUGAUUAGUUUGAUUCAAACGUAAGCUUUUGCUUAACGAUUUGAUUUCAUCAAGUUUUAUAAAUAUAUUAGUUUUUGCCUGCUAUUUGUUACUCCAAUGAACAUGAUUGCUAUACAUUCGGUGUCAAAUUUAGGUUGUACAUCAAACAAUGUUCCUCGGGCUAUUCAAAUUUUUGAGUUGAUGAGGAAGUUGAAUGGGUAGAGUACAAAAUCAAAGAAACCAACAUGUUUACUGUAUAUAAAUAUCAAUAGGUGAGCUUUUAGUGACAUAUUACAUACUUAAAAAUGGUGGACAAUUCUGCUAAAUAUCCGUUGUAAUUAGUGCGCAAAUUGUUUUUUUAUUUCACAAGAGAAAGAAUCCAGCAUGUUAGGUGAAGAUGACAUUGUCGAAGAAUCACCAAAGUGAGUGUUGUAAUCUCUGCACUUUUGAUUGUGUUCAACAUUAUUAUUAUGAUUUUUUGAACAAAAGUAGUAUUGUGUUAUGUACAAGUUGUAUAAUACGUAGAGGUAUUAUAAUAUGCAACUAAACUAGAUUUCUCAGCCUUGUGUGAAAAAACAAAAAGAAUCUUGAUGUAAUUCAAUCGAGUGUACAAUGCUUGAAAUUGUGUGGAAGUCAAAUAACACGUAAGGGUAGCUUGAGUCUUUCUUUGUGAAUGUUUCAAAUUUGUCUACAGGUGGUUUGCUUGGUACAUGUUUAGUUAUUAUCAUAAGAUUUGCAUUAAUUUUGGCUUCCAAUGCAUGUUGAUUGAAUUGGGUAAAAUCGCAAAGGGCUAUUUUAAUUUCUUCUCCUACUACCCCACCACAUUGGUCGUCCAAGGUGGGUGACUGAACAUGUGAAUAGCUGUGUGUUGUUAGUAGGUAGAAGAGUUGGGGAGCAAGGGGCUAGAGUUUGAGUUCUUCUUAAUCCCCUAAAGAAUCACAUAAAGAAAUAGCACCUGAGAAGCAUCGUAAAAAAAAUCUAAGGAUGUUAAAGGUUGUGAUGAUGCUAUGCAACAACUUGAAGAAGUUGUGGAAUAACUAAUAAAUCCACAGAAGUUUACUCGAGUUGGGGAAAGUUACCAAAGGUUUGUACUUAUGUACAUAUGAUAUAAACUUGACUUUUGUGUUAAAAAUUUAUUUACAUGUAAUUUCUCUCAUCAUAAUCACUUGACCUAAACAUGUCGAAUAUCGGUGAGUGUUUGUUGUUUAUUUAUCUUUUUAUGUUUAUUUUUAUUCAAGCAAAAUGACCCUCUUGUUGCAA